AACGAACGCUGGCGGCAGGCUUAACACAUGCAAGUCGAACGGUUGUAGCAAUACAGCAGUGGCGCACGGGUGAGUAACGCGUGGAUAUCUGCCUUUUGGUUCGGAAUAACUCCGGGAAACUGGAGCUAAUACCGGAUGGUUCCUACGGGAUAAAGAUUUAUCGCCAAAAGAUGAGUCCGCGUACGAUUAGCUAGUUGGUGGGGUAAUGGCCCACCAAGGCGACGAUCGUUAGCUGGUCUGAGAGGACGAUCAGCCACACUGGGACUGAGACACGGCCCAAGCUCCUACGGGAGGCAGCAGUGGGGAAUAUUGGACAAUGGGGGCAACCCUGAUCCAGCCAUGCCGCGUGAGUGAUGAAGGCCUUCGGGUUGUAAAGCUCUUUUGGCGGGGACGAUGAUGACGGUACCCGCAGAAUAAGCCCCGGCUAACUUCGUGCCAGCCGCCGCCGUAA
rnacentral:rRNA from 1 species